AAGGAGUGGGGACACGUCCCCAAGUGCCACCUCUGCCUGUCCCGGGACAGGGGACAGCGGGGACAUGGCCCCAGGGACACGGGCCAGGUCCCCAAGUGCCACCUCUGCACCUCCUGGGACAGGGGACACGUCCCCAAGGAGCAGGGACAGGUCCCCAAGUGCCACCCGUGCCUGUCCCCGGUCCCCAAGGGCCACCCGUGGCUGUCCCGGGGCUGGGGACAGGUCCCCGGGAGGAGGGGACGGGUCCCCGAGGGGAGGGGACAAUCCCCCAGUGGCCGCUGCCACCCGCCCCGGCACAGGGGACAGGUCCCCGAGGGGAGGGGACCCGGCAGGGGUGGCCGAGGGUGGCACCGCUCGGCGACAUCGGGAGCCGCGCCACGUCCGGGGACAGCGAGGACAGCGCCAGCCGCGGUUGGGGACACUCGGAGGAGCUGCGGCGGCCGCUGUAGCGCCGGGGAUGUCGCCGUGUCGCCGUGGCCGUGUCACCGUGGCCGUGUCACUGUCCCCGUGUCACUGUCGCCGCGGCCGCCUGGUGCCACCAGGACCCUGUCACCUGUCCCCGCCCUGUCACCGUGUCCCAAUCCCGAUGUCCCCUCCCUGUCACCUGUCCCCGCCCUGUCCCCGUGUCCCCUCCCUGUCCCCUCCCUGUCCCCUCGCUGUCCCCGUGUCCCCAAUAAAGGUGAAGCAGCAGCGGCCCCGCCCUCCUCCCUUGGGGACAGGGGGGUGGUGGCACUUGGUGGCACUUGGUGGCA